rnacentral:rRNA from 1 species
GACGAACGCUGGCGGCGUGCUUAACACAUGCAAGUCGAACGGAAAGGCCCUGCUUUUGUGGGGUGCUCGAGUGGCGAACGGGUGAGUAACACGUGAGUAACCUGCCCUUGACUUUGGGAUAACUUCAGGAAACUGGGGCUAAUACCGGAUAGGAGCUCCUGCUGCAUGGUGGGGGUUGGAAAGUUUCGGCGGUUGGGGAUGGACUCGCGGCUUAUCAGCUUGUUGGUGGGGUAGUGGCUUACCAAGGCUUUGACGGGUAGCCGGCCUGAGAGGGUGACCGGCCACAUUGGGACUGAGAGACGGCCCAGACGCGUACGGGAGGCAGCAGUGGGGAAUAUGGCACAAUGGGCGGAAGCCUGAUGCAGCGACGCCGCGUGCGGGAUGACGGCCUUCGGGUUGUGAACCGCUUUCGCCUGUGACGAAGCGUGAGUGACGGUAAUGGGUAAAGAAGCACCGGCUAACUACGUG